CCGUAGCCCAAGAGAUCGGGAUAACACCUGGAAACAGAUGCUAAUACCGGAUAACAACAGAUGAUGCCUAUCAACUGUUUAAAAGAUGGUUCUGCUAUCACUCUUGGAUGGACCUGCGGUGCAUUAGCUAGUUGGUAGGGUAACGGCCUACCAAGGCGAUGAUGCAUAGCCGAGUUGAGAGACUGAUCGGCCACAUUGGGACUGAGACACGGCCCAAACUCCUACGGGAGGCAGCAUCU
rnacentral:rRNA from 1 species